rnacentral:piRNA from 1 species
UGUAUUUGCUAAAUGAUGCUAACUGCUAC